ensembl:misc_RNA Y_RNA Y RNA
GGCUGGUCUAAAGGUAGUGAGUUAUCUCAACUGAUUGUUCACAGUCAGUUACAGAUCAAACUCCUUGUUCUACUCUUUCCGCCUUUCUCACUACUGCACUUGACUAGUCUAAA